rnacentral:rRNA from 1 species
GACGAACGCUGGCGGCGUGCUUAACACAUGCAAGUCGAACGGUGAAGCGCCUUCCUUUUUGGUGGGUGUGGAUGAGUGGCGAACGGGUGAGUAACACGUGAGUAACCUGCCCCCUUCUUCUGGAUAACCGCAUGAAAGUGUGGCUAAUACGGGAUAUUCUGGGUCUGUCGCAUGAUGAGUCUGGGAAAGAUAUUGUUUCGGUGGGGGAUGGGCUCGCGGCCUAUCAGCUUGUUGGUGGGGUGAUGGCCUACCAAGGCGGUGACGGGUAGCCGGCCUGAGAGGGUGGACGGUCACACUGGGACUGAGACACGGCCCAGACUCCUACGGGAGGCAGCAGUGGGGAAUAUUGCACAAUGGGCGCAAGCCUGAUGCAGCGACGCCGCGUGAGGGAUGGAGGCCUGCGGGUUGUGAACCUCUUUCGCCAGUGAAGCAGGCCUGCCUCGUUUGUGGGUGGGUUGACGGUAGCUGGAUAAGAAGCGCCGGCUAACUACGUG